rnacentral:rRNA from 1 species
UUAAGUUAUUAAGGGCGCACGGUGGAUGCCUUGGCACUAGAAGCCGAUGAAGGACGUUACUAACGACGAUAUGCUUUGGGGAGCUGUAAGUAAGCUUUGAUCCAGAGAUUUCCGAAUGGGGAAACCCAGCAUGAGUUAUGUCAUGUUAUCGAUAUGUGAAUACAUAGCAUAUCAGAAGGCACACCCGGAGAACUGAAACAUCUUAGUACCCGGAGGAAGAGAAAGAAAAUUCGAUUCCCUUAGUAGCGGCGAGCGAAACGGGAAGAGCCCAAACCAAAAAGCUUGCUUGUUGGGGUUGUAGGACACUCUAUACGGAGUUACAAAGGACGACAUUAGACGAAUCAUCUGGAAAGAUGAAUCAAAGAAGGUAAUAAUCCUGUAGUCGAAAAUGUUGUCUCUCUUGAGUGGAUCCUGAGUACGACGGAGCACGUGAAAUUCCGUCGGAAUCUGGGAGGACCAUCUCCUAAGGCUAAAUACUCUCUAGUGACCGAUAGUGAACCAGUACCGUGAGGGAAAGGUGAAAAGCACCCCGGAAGGGGAGUGAAAUAGAACCUGAAACCGUGUGCUUACAAGUAGUCAGAGCCCGUUAAUGGGUGAUGGCGUGCCUUUUGUAGAAUGAACCGGCGAGUUACGAUUUGAUGCAAGGUUAAGCAGUAAAUGUGGAGCCGUAGCGAAAGCGAGUCUGAAUAGGGCGUUUAGUAUUUGGUCGUAGACCCGAAACCAGGUGAUCUACCCUUGGUCAGGUUGAAGUUCAGGUAACACUGAAUGGAGGACCGAACCGACUUACGUUGAAAAGUGAGCGGAUGAACUGAGGGUAGCGGAGAAAUUCCAAUCGAACCUGGAGAUAGCUGGUUCUCUCCGAAAUAGCUUUAGGGCUAGCCUCAAGUGAUGAUUAUUGGAGGUAGAGCACUGUUUGGACGAGGGGCCCCUCUCGGGUUACCGAAUUCAGACAAACUCCGAAUGCCAAUUAAUUUAACUUGGGAGUCAGAACAUGGGUGAUAAGGUCCGUGUUCGAAAGGGAAACAGCCCAGACCACCAGCUAAGGUCCCAAAAUAUAUGUUAAGUGGAAAAGGAUGUGGCGUUGCCCAGACAACUAGGAUGUUGGCUUAGAAGCAGCCAUCAUUUAAAGAGUGCGUAAUAGCUCACUAGUCGAGUGACACUGCGCCGAAAAUGUACCGGGGCUAAACAUAUUACCGAAGCUGUGGAUUGUCCUUUGGACAAUGGUAGGAGAGCGUUCUAAGGGCGUUGAAGCAUGAUCGUAAGGACAUGUGGAGCGCUUAGAAGUGAGAAUGCCGGUGUGAGUAGCGAAAGACGGGUGAGAAUCCCGUCCACCGAUUGACUAAGGUUUCCAGAGGAAGGCUCGUCCGCUCUGGGUUAGUCGGGUCCUAAGCUGAGGCCGACAGGCGUAGGCGAUGGAUAACAGGUUGAUAUUCCUGUACCACCUAUAAUCGUUUUAAUCGAUGGGGGGACGCAGUAGGAUAGGCGAAGCGUGCGAUUGGAUUGCACGUCUAAGCAGUAAGGCUGAGUAUUAGGCAAAUCCGGUACUCGUUAAGGCUGAGCUGUGAUGGGGAGAAGACAUUGAGUCUUCGAGUCGUUGAUUUCACACUGCCGAGAAAAGCCUCUAGAUAGAAAAUAGGUGCCCGUACCGCAAACCGACACAGGUAGUCAAGAUGAGAAUUCUAAGGUGAGCGAGCGAACUCUCGUUAAGGAACUCGGCAAAAUGACCCCGUAACUUCGGGAGAAGGGGUGCUCUUUAGGGUUAACGCCCAGAAGAGCCGCAGUGAAUAGGCCCAAGCGACUGUUUAUCAAAAACACAGGUCUCUGCUAAACCGUAAGGUGAUGUAUAGGGGCUGACGCCUGCCCGGUGCUGGAAGGUUAAGAGGAGUGGUUAGCUUCUGCGAAGCUACGAAUCGAAGCCCCAGUAAACGGCGGCCGUAACUAUAACGGUCCUAAGGUAGCGAAAUUCCUUGUCGGGUAAGUUCCGACCCGCACGAAAGGCGUAACGAUUUGGGCACUGUCUCAACGAGAGACUCGGUGAAAUCAUAGUACCUGUGAAGAUGCAGGUUACCCGCGACAGGACGGAAAGACCCCGUGGAGCUUUACUGUAGCCUGAUAUUGAAAUUCGGCACAGCUUGUACAGGAUAGGUAGGAGCCUUUGAAACGUGAGCGCUAGCUUACGUGGAGGCGCUGGUGGGAUACUACCCUAGCUGUGUUGGCUUUCUAACCCGCACCACUUAUCGUGGUGGGAGACAGUGUCAGGCGGGCAGUUUGACUGGGGCGGUCGCCUCCUAAAAGGUAACGGAGGCGCUCAAAGGUUCCCUCAGAAUGGUUGGAAAUCAUUCAUAGAGUGUAAAGGCAUAAGGGAGCUUGACUGCGAGACCUACAAGUCGAGCAGGGUCGAAAGACGGACUUAGUGAUCCGGUGGUUCCGCAUGGAAGGGCCAUCGCUCAACGGAUAAAAGCUACCCCGGGGAUAACAGGCUUAUCUCCCCCAAGAGUUCACAUCGACGGGGAGGUUUGGCACCUCGAUGUCGGCUCAUCGCAUCCUGGGGCUGUAGUCGGUCCCAAGGGUUGGGCUGUUCGCCCAUUAAAGCGGUACGCGAGCUGGGUUCAGAACGUCGUGAGACAGUUCGGUCCCUAUCCGUCGUGGGCGUAGGAAAUUUGAGAGGAGCUGUCCUUAGUACGAGAGGACCGGGAUGGACAUACCUCUGGUGUACCAGUUGUCGUGCCAACGGCAUAGCUGGGUAGCUAUGUGUGGACGGGAUAAGUGCUGAAAGCAUCUAAGCAUGAAGCCCCCCUCAAGAUGAGAUUUCCCAACUUCGGUUAUAAGAUCCCUCAAAGA